AAUUUGAACGGCUUCACCCAAAAUUAUAUCUUAAUCCAACAUCGAGGUCGCAAUCUUUUUUAUCGAUAUGAACUCUCCAAAAAAAUUACGCUGUUAUCCCUAAAGUAACUUAAAUUUUUAAUCAUUAUUAAUGGAUCAAUUAUUCAUAAAUUAAUGGUUUUUAAAAUUAAAAGUUUUUUAAAUUUUAAUAUCACCCCAAUAAAAUAUUUUAAUUUAUUAUAAUAAAAAUAAUCUUUAUAAUUAAAAUAAACAAAAUAUAAAGAUUUAUAGGGUCUUCUCGUCUUUUAAAUUUAUUUUAGCUUUUUGACUAAAAAAUAAAAUUCUAUAAAAAAUUUAAAUGAAACAGUCAAUAUUUCGUCCAACCAUUCAUUCCAGCCUUCAAUUAAAAGACUAAUGAUUAUGCUACCUUUGCACAGUUAGAAUACUGCGGCCAUUUAAAAUUUUCAGUGGGCAGGUUAGACUUUAAAUUAAAUUCAAAAAGAC
rnacentral:rRNA from 1 species